GCCUCUAUAGCUCAGUGGUAGAGCGCUUGACGUAUGUCUCCUCGUUAUCCUUCUUGAUAAAUCAAAAAUCUAACAAUUAAACAGUUGUAUUCUGAUAUCAAGAGGUCCGUGGUUCAAUCCCGCGUGGAGGCA
rfam:Aspergillus wentii DTO 134E9 unplaced genomic scaffold ASPWEscaffold_8, whole genome shotgun sequence.